rnacentral:rRNA from 1 species
CCUACGGGCGGCAGCAGUCGAGAAUCAUUCACAAUGGGGGAAACCCUGAUGGUGCGACGCCGCGUGGGGGAAUGAAGGACUUCGGAUUGUAAACCUCUGUCAUGUGGGAGCAAAUUAAAAAGAUAGUACCCCAAGAGGAAGAGACGGCUAACUCUGUGCCAGCAGCCGCGGUAAUACAGCGGUCUCAAGCGUUGUUCGGAAUCCAUGGUCGUAAAGGGUGCGGAGGCUGUUUCGUAAGUCGUGUGUGAAAGGCGCGGGCUCAACCCGCGGCCGGCACAUGAUACUGCGAGACUAGAGUGAUGGAGGGGGAACCGGAAUUCUCGGUGUAGCAGUGAAAUGCGUAGAUAUCGAGCGGAACACUCGUGGCGAAGGCGGGUUCCUGGACAUUAACUGACGCUGAGGCACGAAGGCCAGGGGAGCGAAAGGGAUUAGAUACCCUAGUAGUC